CAAAGAACCUGAAGCAUUGGCAUGAAAAGAAAAGGAGAAAGUUAUCGAGGAGUAAUCGCAAAAUUCGGGUUAGUAGAAGUCAAGUGUCCCGACUCAGCAUCCAGAGCAUUCCCGACUCUAACACAACUUGGUGAUGUAUUUUUUUUCUUUUGGGUAAAGGUGGCAUGUACAUAGGUGUUGUGUGAUCACUUGAAUAUGUAUAUUAUUUUGGUUGUGAAGGAUGAAUUAUAAGGUUUAGAUUGUUAAAUGAAAUGGUAGAAAAGUAUAUGAUAUUUUGACACAUGAACAUUAAGUUAUUAAAUGAAUGAAGUUUUCAAUCAA